CUACGGGAUGCAGCAGUGGGGAAUAUUGGACAAUGGGGGAAACCCUGACCCAGCAAUGCCGCGUGUGUGAAGAAGGCCUGCGGGUUGUAAAGCACUUUCGGUUGGGAGGACUGCUUCUAGCACUAAUAUUGUUGGAAGUUGACGUUACCUUCAGAAGAAGCACCGGCUAACCCCGUGCCAGCAGCCGCGGUAAUACGGAGGGGGCAAGCGUUAAUCGGAAUUACUGGGCGUAAAGCGCGCGUAGGCGGCUAGAUCAGUCGGGUGUGAAAGCCCCGGGCUUAACCUGGGAACUGCAUCCGAUACUGUCGAGCUUGAGUACAGGAGAGGAGAGUGGAAUUCCACGUGUAGCGGUGAAAUGCGUAGAUAUGUGGAGGAACACCAAUGGCGAAGGCAGCUCUCUGGCCUGAUACUGACGCUGAGGUGCGAAAGCGUGGGGAGCAAACAGGAUUAGAUACCCCAGUAGUC
rnacentral:rRNA from 1 species